AAAAAGUUUAAUAAUUGGAAAAAAAAUUAAAAUGGGAAAAAAAUUAUUUUAAAAAAUUUACAUAAAACAAAUAUUCCAAGAGGUAAGCAUCUCAGCAUGAAGCUCAGAGAGACUCCACAGGCCUCGUUAGCUGCUUAACGGUCAGGACACUGAUCCAGCAUGGAGGAAGGAAACAAGAUGGCUGCCGGAUUGAGGUUAGCAGCGACGAGACUUCUGGGACAAGGUCCUCGGGCCAGAUGAGGCCAGAGAGGAGACAAUGGACCAAAAUGAAGGAAACCCAAACACAGCAGACCAAACCUGAAUCAAAAAGUAGAUCAUCAGCGCUCUGAGGAACUUUCACCUUUUGGUUCAGGUGAGUUGGAUCAAGAAGGCAUCUGAAGGCUGCAGAGUCAUUGAGGCCUGAUGAUGUGGAGCACAUCCAGGUGAUGUCCAUAUUUAUUUUUCUGGACAAAGAAAAAUAAAUAUGAAGUUGCAGUAGGUCUAACCUGUUGAUGGUACAGUUGGGUUUAAGGUUCAGAGAAAAUAGUUACAGGUAUUUUCCUAACUGUUCGAUUUUAGACCAAAGGUGCAACAUUUUUCAACCUGUUCCCCUCCUGACCUGUAGGGGCGCUGCAUCACGAACCUCUGAAGGAAACAACAAAAACAUCUGGAGACACUGAGCACAACUUCCUUCUUCACAAAAUG